rnacentral:rRNA from 1 species
CACGGCGCACGGGUGCGUAACACGUGGGUAAUCUGCCCUCUGAUGGGGAAUAACCCGCCGAAAGGCGGGCUAAUUCCGCAUAACAUUCCUUGGACUCCGGUUCGAGGAUUCAAAGGCGUAAGUCGUCGGAGGUGGAGCCCGCGCCCGAUUAGCUAGUUGGUGAGGUAACGGCUCACCAAGGCAAUGAUCGGUAGCUGGUCUGAGAGGAUGGCCAGCCACACUGGAACUGAGACACGGUCCAGACUCCUACGGGAGGCAGCAGUGGGGAAUCUUGCACAAUGGGCGAAAGCCUGAUGCAGCGACGCCGCGUGGGGGAUGAAGCUUCUCGGAGUGUAAACCCCUUUCGACUGGGACGAAUACCUCGCAAGAGGGGUGACGGUACCAGUAUAAGAAGCCCCGGCUAACUACGUGCCAGCAGCCGCGGUAAGACGUAGGGGGCCAGCGUUGUUCGGAAUUACUGGGUGUAAAGGGUUCGUAGGCGGUGUGGCAAGUCGGGAGUGAAAUCUCUGGGCUCAACUCAGAGGCUGCUUCCGAAACUGCUGUGCUGGAGUGUGGGAGAGGCGCGUGGAAUUGCAGGUGUAGCGGUGAAAUGCGUAGAUAUCUGCAGGAACACCCGUGGCGAAAGCGGCGCGCUGGACCACUACUGACGCUGAGGAACGAAAGCUAGGGGAGCAAACAGGAUUAGAUACCCUGGUAGUCCUAGCCCUAAACGAUCAGGACUUGGGGUGCCACCCGUUCGGGUGUCGUCCCGGAGCUAACGCGUUAAGUCCUGCACCUGGGGAGUACGGUCGCAAGACUGAAACUCAAAGGAAUUGACGGGGGCCCGCACAAGCGGUGGAACAUGUGGUUCAAUUCGA